UACGUAGGGCGCAAGCGUUGUCCGGAAUUAUUGGGCGUAAAGAGCGCGUAGGCGGUUUGUCGCGUCUGCUGUGAAAACCUAAGGCUCAACCUUGGGCUUGCAGUGGGUACGGGCAGACUAGAGUGCGGUAGGGGUGACUGGAAUUCCUGGUGUAGCGGUGGAAUGCGCAGAUAUCAGGAGGAACACCGAUGGCGAAGGCGGCUCUCUGGGACGGUACUGACGCUGAGACGCGAAAGCGUGGGGAGCGAACAGG
rnacentral:rRNA from 1 species